GAUGAACGCUGGCGGCGUGCCUAAUACAUGCAAGUCGAGCGAACAGAUGAGGAGCUUGCUCCUCUGACGUUAGCGGCGGACGGGUGAGUAACACGUGGAUAACCUACCUAUAAGACUGGGAUAACUUCGGGAAACCGGAGCUAAUACCGGAUAAUAUAUUGAACCGCAUGGUUCAAUAGUGAAAGACGGUUUUGCUGUCACUUAUAGAUGGAUCCGCGCCGCAUUAGCUAGUUGGUAAGGUAACGGCUUACCAAGGCAACAAUGCGUAGCCGACCUGAGAGGGUGAUCGGCCACACUGGAACGUAGACACGGUCCAGACGCCUACGGGAGGCAGCAGUAGGGAAUCUUCCGCAAUGGGCGAAAGCCUGACGGAGCAACGCCGCGUGAGUGAUGAAGGUCUUCGGAUCGUAAAACUCUGUUAUUAGGGAAGAACAAAUGUGUAAGUAACUAUGCACGUCUUGACGGUACCUAAUCAGAAAGCCACGGCUAACUACGUG
rnacentral:rRNA from 1 species